ensembl:lncRNA
CCAGACUGCAGGGGGCAACGAUGCGGCUAAUGGAGAUUCCACUCACAGGAAGUGCCGGCGUACGAACAGGAAGCGCAUGGCAUAAAAUGUUUGUGGAGAGCUCGGAUGGCCCUCUCACUCGGCCCUGAGGAAAAGGACACUGUGGCCACGGCUCCUAAUCUCCCAGAGACGCAACUGAUCCCGCUGUCCCCGUUCCCACCUGCCGUGCCGGCUGCCUCGCGGCGCUCCGGCGUCCUCACCCGGCUGUCCCCUUCCCUUGGAAUCCGCACUCAUUAAUUCACUUCUACGGAUUAUCAUCGUCCUGUGUGAAUCUCUGGGUGCCGGGUCUGAUAUCCAGCCUUAACAUCACUGCCCCAUGGCGUUAAUUGCAAUCAAACCCCCUCAGAUGUAUCAUCUGACUCCUGGGAGCCAUUCGUGAUAUUUGUGUACAACACUGGGCCAAUCUCAGGUUUAUUGUUGUUUAUUGUUGUGUAUUACUGUGACAGGGAGUCUACAUAAGGGCACACGGGUGCAAUUGACACGGGGUAAUGAUGCAUGGGUGACGGGGAGAUCGCACAGUUUUUACCUCUACCAGGAUGCGCAACAAGUUCACAAACUAAAUAUAGAUGCAGUUGUGUUUUAUAAAAUAUAAAACUAAUAAAGAAAACAAAAAGACUUGGAAUCUCUGUGUGAGCGAC